UACGGAAGGUCCGGGCGUUAUCCGGAUUUAUUGGGUUUAAAGGGAGCGUAGGCCGGAGAUUAAGCGUGUUGUGAAAUGUAGACGCUCAACGUCUGCACUGCAGCGCGAACUGGUUUCCUUGAGUACGCACAAAGUGGGCGGAAUUCGUGGUGUAGCGGUGAAAUGCUUAGAUAUCACGAAGAACUCCGAUUGCGAAGGCAGCUCACUGGAGCGCAACUGACGCUGAAGCUCGAAAGUGCGGGUAUCGAACAGGAUUAGAUACCCAGUCCGGCUGACUGACU
rnacentral:rRNA from 1 species